rnacentral:rRNA from 1 species
UACGGAGGGUGCAAGCGUUACUCGGAAUUACUGGGCGUAAAGCGUGUGUAGGUGGCUUCAUAAGUCUGGUGUGAAAGCCCGGGGCUCAACCCCGGAAGUGCAUUGGAUACUGUGAGGCUAGAGUAUGGGAGAGGAGAGCGGAAUUCCAGGUGUAGAGGUGAAAUUCGUAGAUAUCUGGAAGAACACCAGCGGCGAAGGCGGCUCUCUGGACCAUAACUGACACUGAGACACGAAAGCGUGGGGAGCAAACAGG